rnacentral:rRNA from 1 species
UACAGAGGUCCCGAGCGUUGUUCGGAUUCACUGGGCGUAAAGGGUGCGUAGGUGGUGAGGUAAGUCGGAUGUGAAAUCUCCGAGCUCAACUCGGAAAUGGCAUUGGAAACUACCUUGCUCGAGGGUUGGAGGGGGGACUGGAAUACUUGGUGUAGCAGUGAAAUGCGUAGAUAUCAAGUGGAACACCAGUGGCGAAGGCGAGUCCCUGGACAACUCCUGACACUGAGGCACGAAAGCUAGGGGAGCAAACAGG